UACUAGUAAUGGGACUUUCCUUACAUGAAGAACCCCAUGUUGAGGUUGCUGUAACUUAACUAGAAAUGGUUGACAUCUGUGACUCUGCCUGGUGCCACAAUGUAGACUUACUCUCUCUUCUCUCCACCUCUGCUUGUUUUACUACAGCAAGAGCAAACUUGGGCACCUCAUAAUGCCAUGAAACAUCCUGGCUCCACAUGGUAACCUGACUAGGACUUGUCAGUAUUUUGCAUCCAGAUCUGUGAAGCCCAUGGGAAGGUGGGGACUGCUCUUUCAUUUAGCCCUGUGCUCAGAGGAGAAAAUGACAGAUGGAAAGAACUUUUGUGGAGAGAUCACAGAGAGGAAGAAGUCU